rnacentral:rRNA from 1 species
GACGAACGCUGGCGGCGUGCUUAACACAUGCAAGUCGAACGCUGAAGCUCAGCUUUUGUUGGGUGGAUGAGUGGCGAACGGGUGAGUAACACGUGAGUAACCUGCCUCCUUCUUUGGGAUAACGCCCGGAAACGGGUGCUAAUACUGGAUAUUCACUGGUCUUCGCAUGGGGGUUGGUGGAAAGGGUUUUUCUGGUGGGGGAUGGGCUCGCGGCCUAUCAGCUUGUUGGUGGGGUGAUGGCCUACCAAGGUUUUGACGGGUAGCCGGCCUGAGAGGGUGACCGGUCACAUUGGGACUGAGAUACGGCCCAGACUCCUACGGGAGGCAGCAGUGGGGAAUAUUGCACAAUGGGCGCAAGCCUGAUGCAGCGACGCCGCGUGAGGGAUGGAGGCCUUCGGGUUGUGAACCUCUUUCGCUCAUGGUCAAGCCGCAACAAUGGUUGUGGUGAGGGUAGUGGGUAAAGAAGCGCCGGCUAACUACGUG